rnacentral:rRNA from 1 species
AGAGUUUGAUCAUGGCUCAGAUUGAACGCUGGCGGCAGGCUUAACACAUGCAAGUCGAGCGGAGAUGAGGUGCUUGCACCUUAUCUUAGCGGCGGACGGGUGAGUAAUGCUUAGGAAUCUGCCUAUUAGUGGGGGACAACAUUCCGAAAGGAAUGCUAAUACCGCAUACGUCCUACGGGAGAAAGCAGGGGAUCUUCGGACCUUGCGCUAAUAGAUGAGCCUAAGUCGGAUUAGCUAGUUGGUGGGGUAAAGGCCUACCAAGGCGACGAUCUGUAGCGGGUCUGAGAGGAUGAUCCGCCACACUGGGACUGAGACACGGCCCAGACUCCUACGGGAGGCAGCAGUGGGGAAUAUUGGACAAUGGGGGGAACCCUGAUCCAGCCAUGCCGCGUGUGUGAAGAAGGCCUUAUGGUUGUAAAGCACUUUAAGCGAGGAGGAGGCUACUGAGACUAAUACUCUUGGAUAGUGGACGUACUCGCAGAAUAAGCACCGGCUAACUCUGUGCCAGCAGCCGCGGUAAUACAGAGGGUGCGAGCGUUAAUCGGAUUUACUGGGCGUAAAGCGUGCGUAGGCGGCUUUUUAAGUCGGAUGUGAAAUCCCCGAGCUUAACUUGGGAAUUGCAUUCGAUACUGGGAAGCUAGAGUAUGGGAGAGGAUGGUAGAAUUCCAGGUGUAGCGGUGAAAUGCGUAGAGAUCUGGAGGAAUACCGAUGGCGAAGGCAGCCAUCUGGCCUAAUACUGACGCUGAGGUACGAAAGCAUGGGGAGCAAACAGGAUUAGAUACCCUGGUAGUCCAUGCCGUAAACGAUGUCUACUAGCCGUUGGGGCCUUUGAGGCUUUAGUGGCGCAGCUAACGCGAUAAUAGACCGCCUGGGA